rnacentral:rRNA from 1 species
GGAAACACCCGGUCCCAUCCCGAACCCGGAAGUUAAGCCCGCCCGCGUACCGCCUUGUACUACGGUGCGCGAGCCCGUGGGAAGGGCGGUUCGCUGUCAAGC